rnacentral:tRNA from 1 species
GCCGGUGUGGUGGAAUAGGUAGACACAGGAGACUUAAAAUCUCCCGGUAGCAAUACUGUACCGGUUCGAGUCCGGUCACCGGCACCA